AAAGGGCGCGUAGGCGGAUGUUUAAGUCAGAGGUGAAAGCCCAGGGCUCAACCUUGGAACUGCCUUUGAUACUGGACAUCUUGAGUGUGGGAGAGGUGAGUGGAACUCCGAGUGUAGAGGUGAAAUUCGUAGAUAUUCGGAAGAACACCAGUGGCGAAGGCGACUCACUGGCCCAUUACUGACGCUGAGGCGCGAAAGCGUGGGGAGCAAACAGGAUUAGAUACCCUAGU
rnacentral:rRNA from 1 species